rnacentral:lncRNA from 1 species
UUAUAAUCUAUCCAAGAUUACAGUUGGAUAGUUUUUUAGACACAAUUCAAAAUCCAAUUUGUUUUGCACAGGAUCACUAACCAAAAUCUAACCCAAGUAAAUCCUUAGCUCACAAUUCAAUUAUAAGAUUUGGAUGAGCUUAUCUCCUAGCUUCAAUUUUCAAUUGAAGCUAGUUAUAGUAGAAAGAUAGAAACAAUGACAAUAAAAUUACAAAAGUUCUUUGGGCAAAGAUAAAGUUCGAAGAAUCUCUUUUUGAUGAAGCCUUUUAGAGGUGGGGCUUGCCUUUUUGCUGAAAGGCUCUUUUGAUUUAAUGUUUGAGGUGGUUAAGGAAUGGAUACACAUUACUCAAUACUUCUAAUCUUUUCUUGUUAUCUCUCACUUUUUUUUUAAUUCUCUUAUGUAUUGAUAAUCUUCAAUGAGUUUGGUGGAUGUUUAACAUUAUUUGAAAGGUUAAAAUUUUAUUUUUGACCGUUAGAAUUCGAAAUAGAGUUGUUGGAAAUAUUUCUGAACUAUUUUAAAAAUUCUGCAGAGCUCAUCGUUAGAUUUUGAGCUGAUUUAGAUAGGAUUCGAGUAGACUCGAAUACCUUUUGAGUCCACUCGAGCUAGAAGUCCAUAAAAUGUUGUCCUCUGUCAUUUCUGAGAACUUUGAUUC